AUGAUCUGCGAACAUGAGUACCCUUUAUCUAUGGUGGAUCACCAUGGUUUUCAUAGGUUUUGUUCUUAUUUGCAACCAUUGUUCAAGAUGGUGAGCAGAAAUACUAUUAGGAAUGACAUUGUAGCUAUGCAUUCUACUCAGAAGGAGAAGAUGGUGAAUUUUUUUGCAAGCUUCAAACACCGAGUGGCUGUCACUACAGAUUUGUGGACAACAGGCUAUCAAAAGAGAGGUUACAUGGCUGUUAUGGCACACUACAUAGAUGAUUCUUGGAACCUGAAGAGCUUUCUUAUAAGGUUUGCUUAUGUGGCAUGCCCACAUACAGCUGAGGUCAUAUGUGAAGCCUUGUAUGAGUGUCUUGUUGAGUGGCACCUAGAGAGGAAGAUUUGCACUAUCACAUUGGACAACUGCACAUCUAAUGAGAAAGCUAUGACCAUAUUGCCAGAUAAGUUGGAUACUAGCUCUCUUAUGUUAGAUGGCCAGUUUCUGCAUAUGCGUUGUGCUGCUCACAUAUUAAACCUGAUUGUGAAAGAUGGAAUGAGUGUCUUAGAGGAAGGUGUAUUGAGAGUACAUGAUAGUGUUGCAUUUUGGUCGGCAAUGCCUAAAAGGCAUGAAAAGUUUGAAAAGAUGGCAAAAACAUUGAACAUAGAGUAUAACCGAAGGUUAAAUCUUGACUGUAAGACUAGAUGGAAUUCAACUUACCUUAUGAUAAGCAUUGCCCUACAAUACAUAGAGAUAUUUGAAAAAUUGAAGGCACGUGAAACGAAAUUUGAUUGCUGCCCAACCAAAGAUGAUUGGAAGUUUGCAAAUGAAAUGUGUGAUAGGUUGAAGCUCUUCUUUGAUAUCACUGAGUCAUUUUCAGGAACUAAGUAUGUAACAGCAAAUCUCUUUUUCCCUAAAGUAGUUACCAUUCGUUUGGCCAUAGGAAAUGGGGUAAAAGUGAAAAUGAGCUUAUACAAAAAAUGUCAGAGGAAAUGA
rnacentral:rRNA from 1 species